rnacentral:tRNA from 1 species
CGCGGAGUGGAGCAGUUGGUAGCUCGCCAGGCUCAUAACCUGGAGGCCGUGGGUUCGAGUCCUUCCUCCGCAACCA